rnacentral:rRNA from 1 species
GACGUAGGGGGCCAGCGUUGCUCGGAAUUACUGGGCGUAAAGAGUGUGUAGGCGGUGCUCUAAGUUCGGUGUGAAAUCUCCUGGCUUAACUGGGAGGGUGCGCCGGAAACUGGAGUGCUCGAGCGUGGGAGAGGAAAGCGGAAUUCCUGGUGUAGCGGUGAAAUGCGUAGAUAUCAGGAGGAACACCUGCGGUGUAGACGGCUUUCUGGACCAUUGCUGACGCUGAGACACGAAAGCGUGGGUAGCAAACAGG